rnacentral:rRNA from 1 species
UACGUAGGUGGCGAGCGUUAUCCGGAAUGAUUGGGCGUAAAGGGUGCGUAGGCGGCCUGCUAAGUCUGGAGUGAAAGGUACCGGCUCAACCGGUACAGGCUCUGGAAACUGGCGGGCUAGAGAGCAGGAGAGGGCGGUGGAACUCCAUGUGUAGCGGUAAAAUGCGUAGAUAUAUGGAAGAACACCAGUGGCGAAGGCGGCCGCCUGGCCUGUAACUGACACUGAGGCUCGAAAGCGUGGGGAGCAAACAGG